rnacentral:lncRNA from 1 species
CCUGCACUGAAUAAAAGCAAGCAGCUCCAGCUUCUCGGGGCUGUUCUCUGGCCACUAGAGCCAGGCAGUCACCUAGCUGCUCUUACACUACAUACAUCAGUGUCUGAGUACUGAUUUCCUCUCUUGGCCAGGGUCUGUGGGACAGACCCGGCAGGUGGGCCCUGUGUGAGGAAGGCUGCAAUGGACUGCAGUGGAACCCUCGGAAACGAAAGUGAGGUGACUGCACAUUACUAAAGAGAUUAGACUAACUCUCUGUAGCUCCAGAGGGCAAAAGAAGAACCACUUGGUAGAAUCCACCAGAGGCAGUUUUGAAUUCGAAGAGAAGAAGCACUUUCUAAUGGUCACACAGCUGGCCAGCCCUGAGUGAGCUGUCCCAGGAAGCUCAGGGAAACUAUCUUUCAAAACAGAAGGAAAAAUUAAGAUGUUCCAGAUAAGCAAAAACGGAGAGAAUCUGUCACUAGCAGAGACGCUCUAUCUACAAGGAGUACCAAAGAGAGUGCAUCAGGCUAAAAUGAAAGGACUUUGAAAGGACGGUAACUGGAAUCCACAGGAAGAAAACAAGAGCACCAGUAAAGAUAUCUCUAAAAGAUAUCCUCAAUGCCAUUUCACAGGUGAGGAAAUGUGGGCACAGAGAGGUAAGGACAAGAACUCAGGCAAAUGUGCCACCGGCCACAGAGGUUUCUGGCUGGAAAAGUGACACCCCAAAGAUCCCGUAACAGCAGUAUCCUUCACAGCUUGCUUGUGUGGGGUCAGUGAGCCAUGAGCUUUCUACCUCCGUGGAGCCCUGGGAGCGACCCUUCUGUGGGGAGAACU